UAUGGAGCACUUGUGGGUUGUGGAUAUAUCCCUUGGCUGUUAAAUAUGCUAGAAUCACCACCCUUAUCCUUGAUUUUCAUAGGACCUGAACUUGUAUGACUCUCUGUGUCAAAAAACCUCUGAUUUCCAAUAUCCUGAACAUAGUUUUUAACCUCCAUGGUUGACAAAAGGGACGACUGAUGUUGUUUAACAUAUAUCAUAUCCUUACCACCAAUAGUCACUGAAGUUAUAACAUGUGUUCCAAAAUUUUCGAUGAAGCUUGCCAAGGAUGAAGGCUCCCAAAAAUUUGGGACAGCCUGUUUAAC
rnacentral:misc_RNA from 1 species